rnacentral:rRNA from 1 species
GAUGAACGCUGGCGGCGUGCCUAAUACAUGCAAGUCGAGCGAAUGGAUUAAGAGCUUGCUCUUAUGAAGUUAGCGGCGGACGGGUGAGUAACACGUGGGUAACCUGCCCAUAAGACUGGGAUACCUCCGGGAAACCGGGGCUAAUACCGGAUAACAUUUUGAACCGCAUGGUUCGAAAUUGAAAGGCGGCUUCGGCUGUCACUUAUGGAUGGACCCGCGUCGCAUUAGCUAGUUGGUGAGGUAACGGCUCACCAAGGCAACGAUGCGUAGCCGACCUGAGAGGGUGAUCGGCCACACUGGGACGGAGACACGGCCCAGACUCCUACGGGAGGCAGCAGUAGGGAAUGUUCCGCAAUGGACUAAAGUCUGACGGAGCAACGCCGCGUGAGUGAUGAAGGCUUUCGGGUCGUAAAACUCUGUUGUUAGGGAAGAACAAGUGCUAGUAGAAUAAGCUGGCACCUUGACGGUACCUAACCAGAAAGCCACGGCUAACUACGUGCCAGCCGCCGCGGUAA